rnacentral:rRNA from 1 species
GACAGAGGUGCCGAGCGUUAGGCGGAAUCACUGGGCUUAAAGCGUGUGUAGGCGGACUUCUAAGUACCUUGUGAAAUCCCACGGCUCACCCGUGGAACUGCUGGGUAUACUGGUCGUCUUGAGCCACCUAGGGGCCAGCGGAACAAAUGGUGGAGCGGUGAAAUGCGUAGAUAUCAUUUGGAACGUCAACGGUGAAAACAGCUGGCUGGGGGUGUGCUGACGCUGAGACACGAAAGCCAGGGGAGCGAACGGG